rnacentral:lncRNA from 1 species
CGACUCAAGCCAGCAGUCAGGGGGGCAUGAUUCCCUGUUUUCAUCGUCUGUCUCCAGUGGACCAGUUUUUCAAUCAAUCACUGGCAAGUACUGGAUGCCUCUGAAGACAGCACAGGGGUGAGGGGGCGACAAGAGGUGUCCUCCCCAUCCCACCUCUGGCCACUAAGAGGAAAAACAGAGCCUAACGUCACCCUCAGAAGGUCGAACUCCAAAACCCACACCUGUCCCAGCAGAGGUCAGGCUCCCUCACCCUGGACAGCUCCCGCCUUCUCGGGCAGCCAGGACGUGCCAGACCUGAGGUGUUAGCACAUCCAGACAAUGGUCGUUCCAGUCUGGAGGCAGGUCUGGAUGCCUCCGCAGGAGAUGGUAAGGGAAAGGAAUGCUCCAGAACAGAUGCAAGAAGCACUGGCUGGGGAGGGGACUGGGAGCCGGUGGGAGGAGCCCUCUGUUCCAAAAAUGCAUAGCCUGGCCGCCCCUUGCUCUCUCUCCCUGGUGUGGGCUCACCAGCUCCCUUCGAGGAACUUGCCUGUCUGCAGGGAUGACGGGGUGUGGGUCCCUGUCUGGGCUGCCUGACGUAUGUUUUCCUUGUCCUGAGAAGCAGAUGCUGGUUUGUGCCCCAGCGUCUUGUGGGUGCAUCUGUGCUGGAUCCUCUUAAUCUUCUGAGUCAGAGAGGGUUCUCCAGCUGUCUGGUGGAGGUUUUGAGGAGAAAGAGAGGAUGAAGAGAGAGCGAUGUCCAGGAAAGUUCUCAGUCCCCGGCUUGUGCUGUCAUAGCUGGAGAGAAACACCAACCGCUUUUGCAGCUGAGGAAACUGAGGCAGAGAGAGGUGGAGGAGCUUGUCCCUCUGUGGACCCGGUGAGCAGGAGAGUCGUUCUGCAAAGCCAGACCGUCUGCACAAGAAACACAUUUAUCCACCACGCCAAUAGUUCUCAGAGUGGGGUCCGCGGCCAGCAGCAUCAGCAGCCCCUGGAACUUGGGAGGAAGGCAAGCUCUCUGGCCCCACCCAGGACCUACAGCAAUGUGGUUUCUCCUGGGGAUUCUGAUCCUUGCUCAGGGGUUUCUUUGCGGAGCACCGAUGCACUGCACGAGGCGUUGUAGGAGAGCGUGCUAAGGACGUGUGUGACUGUGACCAAACCUGAAGCCACCGCCUGCCCUCUCAGAGCCCACGAGGAAGAGCCGUGGACUCACAGCCAGCGCAUCUUGGGUCUGUGGGCAGUUUCAGAGCCUUCUUUGUGGAUACGGAGGCACGGCAUGAAGCCUGAGGCUGCUGGACGUGGGGGGCCUGGAAGGCUGUCAUCAUUUGCAAAACAUCAGGGAGCUGCCACUUAAAACCUGGGGACUCAAUCCACGGGACAGACGUGGACGGCUCUCCUGGCGGACCAGUCGUGUCUGUAAAUACUGCUAUUUACGUUUUAUUCGGGGACCUGUUCGUAAAAUUUCAAGUCAAAUAGGAGAGGAGCAAUGGCAGCUGUGUCCACCUUGAGUCUCUGCUCCAGCAUUUUGCCUAGUGGAUGAUUUUAAGAUCAAAACAGAACUAUCUGGUGCCCCAAAAUCCUGAUGCACAAGCUCCAGGCUGGGGAGCUGCCGCGGAGCCUGGAACGUGGUGCCCGGGUGGUGACAAGCUUCUCUUGACCCUCACACCUCCAGGUUGUUUCUACCCCACCCCCCACAUACUUAGACAUGGUUGUGGGAGACCCAAAGGGAAGUGUGGACCCUCAGCUACCAAAAAAAAUUAAAAAAGAAAGAAAAGCAUUGUUUGUGCAAAGAGCAGGGAGAACCUAAAAAAAAAAAAAAACCACAAGCAACAGCCCUAGAAACAUGCCAAGCAUCCUUUUUGUAAAGACAGCCAAUGGCGAGGCAGGCCUCACCCCAGCCCUACCCCCAACAUCUCUCCAGAUCCCUCGGCCCCCCUUCCUCGGGAGCGGAGCUGGGG